rnacentral:tRNA from 1 species
AAGGUCUUGGCUUAAUUAAAGUACCUGGGUUGCAUUCAGGUGAUGUUGGAUAGAAUCCUGCAGAUCUUA